ensembl:snRNA U6 U6 spliceosomal RNA
CUGCUUCAGCAACACAUAUACUAAAAUUGGAGCGAUGCAGAAAUUAGCAAGGCCCCUGUGCAAGGACACGCAAAUUCGUGAAGCGUUCCAUAUUUUU